GAUCAUGGCUCAGGAUGAACGCUAGCUACAGGCUUAACACAUGCAAGUCGAGGGGCAGCAUGACGAUAGCUUGCUAUUGUUGAUGGCGACCGGCGCACGGGUGAGUAACGCGUAUCCAACCUGCCCUUGUCCAUCGGAUAACCCGUCGAAAGGUCGGCCUAACACGAUAUGCAGUUCUCAGCAGGCAUCUAACGAGAACGAAAUGUGAAGGAGAAGGAUGGGGA
rnacentral:rRNA from 1 species